GCCUUGUCCAGACCAUGUGCAUAUCAGUUCGUACGCUUUUAGACUGAAUCAAAUCAAGCGAUACCGCCAAUACAACACCAAAAUAAGUCGUAAUUGCAGGAUAAUAGGCUGCAAUAGGAACACAUUUUGCUGGAAACUUUGAGUUUUUGGUUAUUGCAAUAUAGAGAACUCUAUGACCGGUAAAUUGCACUCACACAAACGAUCGUCAUGGACGAUAUUAACGUUUGUAUAUUUCAGCAUUCGAAAGGCUAACCACACCUUCUGUGUAUUAAAGCUCACCAACUUAUUUCAACAGCUCGAAUGGAAAGAAUGUGAGAAUUGACUCUCUUCUCGAAAUCCUAUAGUUUUAUAUCAUU